UUCUCCUCUAAUUUCCUAAAUUUAUUUAGGUCGAUGGCCAAUCAAAUUAAUUAAAUUGAAUGGUCCAAAUCAUUAAAAAAAUCAUUAAAAAAUUUUACUGGCCCAACUCACUUCCCUUCUUCACCACUAUCGGUCAAAACCCUCUCUCUCUCUUCACCUCACUCCUUCCCCACACGGUCGGAUCGAAAGCCCAAACUCAAGGAGGCUGCCGAUCCCCUUCCGUCGCCGACCGUUCCAUACCGGGCCGGCGGUAUCGCCGUCACCACUCUCGGUUGUACCAAGCCUCUUUCCAUUUCGGUAAAAUCCCCAAAUUGGGAAGAUACCCUAAGUGAGAGGAACUUCCGAUUCGUCGCCUCCCUCCGAGCUUCCACCGUCAAAUCGACGCCGGUCACCAUCACUCUGGGUGAACUGGCCGAUUCUCCAACGUAGCUGGAGGAAAAAGGGGACGUCGGUUGUUGGCUCCGCCGCUACUGCUGGCUCGUCGAUUCACCACCAUGGAAUCACCGCGGCCGAACAGCAACGUCGAGUGAGUGCCUCGCCGUCACUGCUCUGCCGUCUCCUCCCGCCAUGCGUGGUGCUUCCCCGUCGGGUUGCCGCUGGUUCACAGUCGGCGCCGUCAUCGCCAACAGAAAACUCCUAAGCUAAGUCUUCUACCUUAGCUAUUUAGGUGUUUUCUUUAAGUUGGGUUUGUUCUUGCCCCUCUUAUGUGGAUUUAGGUAGACCGUAAUUAAUCUUCGACGGAAACGGCUGAUUUAGGAAUUUCUGGACCCUGGGACCUACUGCUCUGGGAUUACUUCUCACUGACUUUGAUCAAUAGACAUCAUACCUUUAUUUUCUCGUGUUCUAUCUAUGUGCUAAAGCUUUUAAUUCUUUAUGCUAAGCACAAAUAUAACCGAGGCAGAGGGUGUGCAAAAGUUUACUACUUCCUUCUACUUUGUCAGGUUGUCAAGAUUUGGAGUGGAUGAUGUCCUAAGUGUGUUUAAAAUUUUCAAAUCCUACAUGACGAUAUGUUACAUAAAUGCGCUGGAGAUGGGGAAAGGAUUACCUUCUCUUACACUAGUUCUGCUCUCUACUCUUAGCUGCAACCUCCCUCACUUUCCAACUUGGUAACUCGCUGAAUGAGUAUGUAGUGGUAGGCAAAAUGAGGCUGAGGGGGUCGUGCUAUAUAUGAGAGUGUGUAACUGAAAGCCUGCGAGGCUGGCUGUUUGUGCAGAGAGUCCUUGAUUGGUUAUGUUUUGGCUGUUUCCUCUGCAGCUAUACAGGGAUGUACUCGUGGGAUUAAAUGUGACUGUUAUACUAUUUUGUUUCCUUCUUGCAGAAACUCCUUUUUCCCUUGAUGCUGCAGCACUUUUACCUGGAUUUUGUGUGUCGAAUUGCAGGUGCACAACAAGGAUGUGGGGCUGUUAAGGGACAAACCGCAGAGCUGCUGCAACUAAAAAGAGCAGGCGUUGCAGGGUUGAAUGGCUCCAUGACAGCUUUCGGUUGGGCUGGGGUGUGCAGGAGUUGUAGCCACAUAUCCCUCCUAAUUUGGCAACCCCUUGGUCUUCAUUGCAAAGUGAUGUACCAAUACUAGUUAGCUGGGAAUCGUUUCCUUGCGGCAUGGCUCAAUGCCUCUGGACCGACGGUGUGUAUCUGGCAGAGACAAGGAGGCUGAUCUCCCCCAGGCUGUUACCUCGUCGGUUCGGCCCAACGGGCCGUCGGAACACUGGGCCGACGUCUAGGCUAAGGAGAGGCCCAAAUGCUAGUUUCUUUCCUCCCUAAUGUAAUAGGGUAGUCUUAAUUGUAAUGUCUCUUAUAGCUAAUGUAUUUCUUUUCCUUUAUUUUUGUUGUCAAGCAUUUGUAAAUUUAGAUUUAACUGGAAAUUCUAAUUAUUGUGUUUCAAGAAAUCAACGAAUACUCUUUCGUUCUCA